rnacentral:rRNA from 1 species
GGGUGGAUUAGUGGCGAACGGGUGAGUAACACGUGGGCAAUCUGCCCUGCACUCUGGGACAAGCCCUGGAAACGGGGUCUAAUACCGGAUACUGAUCGCCUUGGGCAUCCUUGGUGAUCGAAAGCUCCGGCGGUGCAGGAUGAGCCCGCGGCCUAUCAGCUUGUUGGUGAGGUAAUGGCUCACCAAGGCGACGACGGGUAGCCGGCCUGAGAGGGCGACCGGCCACACUGGGACUGAGACACGGCCCAGACUCCUACGGGAGGCAGCAGUGGGGAAUAUUGCACAAUGGGCGAAAGCCUGAUGCAGCGACGCCGCGUGAGGGAUGACGGCCUUCGGGUUGUAAACCUCUUUCAGCAGGGAAGAAGCGAAAGUGACGGUACCUGCAGAAGAAGCGCCGGCUAACUACGUGCCAGCAGCCGCGGUAAUACGUAGGGCGCGAGCGUUGUCCGGAAUUAUUGGGCGUAAAGAGCUCGUAGGCGGCUUGUCGCGUCGGUUGUGAAAGCCCGGGGCUUAACCCCGGGUCUGCAGUCGAUACGGGCAGGCUAGAGUUCCGUAGGGGAGAUCGGAAUUCCUGGUGUAGCGGUGAAAUGCGCAGAUAUCAGGAGGAACACCGGUGGCGAAGGCGGAUCUCUGGGCCGAUACUGACGCUGAGGAGCGAAGCGUGGGGAGCGAACAGGAUUAGAUACCCUGGUAGUCCACGCUGUAAACGGUGGGCACUAGGUGUGGGCGACAUUCCACGUCGUCCGUGCCGCAGCUAACGCAUUAAGUGCCCCGCCUGGGGAGUACGGCCGCAAGGCUAAAACUCAAAGGAAUUGACGGGGGCCCGCACAAGCGGCGGAGCAUGUGGCUUAAUUCGACGCAACGCGAAGAACCUUACCAAGGCUUGACAUACACCGGAAACGUCCAGAGAUGGGCGCCCCCUUGUGGUCGGUGUACAGGUGGUGCAUGGCCGUCGUCAGCUCGUGUCGUGAGAUGUUGGGUUAAGUCCCGCAACGAGCGCAACCCUUGUCCCGUGUUGCCAGCAGGCCCUUGUGGUGCUGGGGACUCACGGGAGACCGCCGGGGUCAACUCGGAGGAAGGUGGGGACGACGUCAAGUCAUCAUGCCCCUUAUGUCUUGGGCUGCACACGUGCUACAAUGGCCGGUACAAUGAGCUGCGAUACCGCGAGGUGGAGCGAAUCUCAAAAAGCCGGUCUCAGUUCGGAUUGGGGUCUGCAACUCGACCCCAUGAAGUCGGAGUCGCUAGUAAUCGCAGAUCAGCAUUGCUGCGGUGAAUACGUUCCCGGGCCUUGUACAC